rnacentral:rRNA from 1 species
UCGGGUGGUUCUAGCGAGGGGGCCACACCUGUUCCCAUCCCGAACACAGUAGUUAAGCCCCUCAGCCCCGAUGGUACUGCGCGGGCAACUGCGUGGGAGAGUAGGACGCCGCCCGAU